rnacentral:rRNA from 1 species
UUAAGCGACUAAGCGUACACGGUGGAUGCCCUGGCAGUCAGAGGCGAUGAAGGACGUGCUAAUCUGCGAAAAGCGUCGGUAAGGUGAUAUGAACCGUUAUAACCGGCGAUGUCCGAAUGGGGAAACCCAGUGUGAUUCGUCACACUAUCGUUAACUGAAUACAUAGGUUAACGAGGCGAACCGGGGGAACUGAAACAUCUAAGUACCCCGAGGAAAAGAAAUCAACCGAGAUUCCCCCAGUAGCGGCGAGCGAACGGGGAGCAGCCCAGAGUCUGAAUCAGCUUGUGUGUUAGUGGAACGGUCUGGAAAGUCCGACGGUACAGGGUGAUAGUCCCGUACACCAAAAUGCACAGGCUGUGAACUCGAAGAGUAGGGCGGGACACGUGGUAUCCUGUCUGAAUAUGGGGGGACCAUCCUCCAAGGCUAAAUACUCCUGACUGACCGAUAGUGAACCAGUACCGUGAGGGAAAGGCGAAAAGAACCCCGGCGAGGGGAGUGAAAAAGAACCUGAAACCGUGUACGUACAAGCAGUGGGAGCACCUUCGGGUGUGACUGCGUACCUUUUGUAUAAUGGGUCAGCGACUUAUAUUCUGUAGCAAGGUUAACCGUAUAGGGGAGCCGCAGGAAACCGAGUCUUAACUGGGCGUUAAGUUGCAGGGUAUAGACCCGAAACCCGGUGAUUCAGCCAUGGGCAGGUUGAAGGUUGGGUAACACUAACUGGAGGACCGAACCGACUAAUGUUGAAAAAUUAGCGGAUGACUUGUGGCUGGGGGUGAAAGGCCAAUCAAACCGGGAGAUAGCUGGUUCUCCCCGAAAGCUAUUUAGGUAGCGCCUCGUGAACUCAUCUUCGGGGGUAGAGCACUGUUUCGGCUAGGGGGUCAUCCCGACUUACCAACCCGAUGCAAACUACGAAUACCGAAGAAUGUUAUCACGGGAGACACACGGCGGGUGCUAACGUCCGUCGUGAAGAGGGAAACAACCCAGACCGCCAGCUAAGGUCCCAAAGUCAUGGUUAAGUGGGAAACGAUGUGGGAAGGCACAGACAGCCAGGAUGUUGGCUUAGAAGCAGCCAUCAUUUAAAGAAAGCGUAAUAGCUCACUGGUCGAGUCGGCCUGCGCGGAAGAUGUAACGGGGCUAAACCAUGCACCGAAGCUGCGGCAGCGACACUGUGUUGUUGGGUAGGGAGCGUUCUGUAAGCCUGCGAAGGUGUGCUGUGAGGCAUGCUGGAGGUAUCAGAAGUGCGAAUGCUGACAUAAGUAACGAUAAAGCGGGUGAAAAGCCCGCUCGCCGGAAGACCAAGGGUUCCUGUCCAACGUUAAUCGGGCAGGGUGAGUCGACCCUAAGGCGAGGCCGAAAGGCGUAGUCGAUGGGAAACAGGUUAAUAUUCCUGUACUUGGUGUUACUGCGAAGGGGGGACGGAGAAGGCUAUGUUAGCCGGGCGACGGUUGUCCCGGUUUAAGCAUGUAGGCUGGUUAUCCAGGCAAAUCCGGAUAAUCAAGGCUGAGGUGUGAUGACGAGGCACUACGGUGCUGAAGUAACAAAUGCCCUGCUUCCAGGAAAAGCCUCUAAGCAUCAGGUAACAUCAAAUCGUACCCCAAACCGACACAGGUGGUCAGGUAGAGAAUACCAAGGCGCUUGAGAGAACUCGGGUGAAGGAACUAGGCAAAAUGGUGCCGUAACUUCGGGAGAAGGCACGCUGGUGUGUAGGUGAAGUCCCUGCGGAUGGAGCUGAGACCAGUCGAAGAUACCAGCUGGCUGCAACUGUUUAUUAAAAACACAGCACUGUGCAAACACGAAAGUGGACGUAUACGGUGUGACGCCUGCCCGGUGCCGGAAGGUUAAUUGAUGGGGUUAUCCGUAAGGAGAAGCUCUUGAUCGAAGCCCCGGUAAACGGCGGCCGUAACUAUAACGGUCCUAAGGUAGCGAAAUUCCUUGUCGGGUAAGUUCCGACCUGCACGAAUGGCGUAAUGAUGGCCAGGCUGUCUCCACCCGAGACUCAGUGAAAUUGAACUCGCUGUGAAGAUGCAGUGUACCCGCGGCAAGACGGAAAGACCCCGUGAACCUUUACUAUAGCUUGACACUGAACAUUGAGCCUUGAUGUGGAUAGGUGGGAGGCUUUGAAGCGUGGACGCCAGUCUGCGUGGAGCCAACCUUGAAAUACCACCCUUUAAUGUUUGAUGUUCUAACGUUGGCCCCUGACCGGGGUUGCGGACAGUGUCUGGUGGGUAGUUUGACUGGGGCGGUCUCCUCCCAAAGCGUAACGGAGGAGCACGAAGGUUAGCUAAUCCUGGUCGGACAUCAGGAGGUUAGUGCAAUGGCAUAAGCUAGCUUGACUGCGAGCGUGACGGCGCGAGCAGGUGCGAAAGCAGGUCAUAGUGAUCCGGUGGUUCUGAAUGGAAGGGCCAUCGCUCAACGGAUAAAAGGUACUCCGGGGAUAACAGGCUGAUACCGCCCAAGAGUUCAUAUCGACGGCGGUGUUUGGCACCUCGAUGUCGGCUCAUCACAUCCUGGGGCUGAAGUAGGUCCCAAGGGUAUGGCUGUUCGCCAUUUAAAGUGGUACGCGAGCUGGGUUUAGAACGUCGUGAGACAGUUCGGUCCCUAUCUGCCGUGGGCGCUGGAGAAUUGAGGGGGGCUGCUCCUAGUACGAGAGGACCGGAGUGGACGCAUCACUGGUGUUCGGGUUGUCAUGCCAAUGGCACUGCCCGGUAGCUAAAUGCGGAAGAGAUAAGUGCUGAAAGCAUCUAAGCACGAAACUUGCCCCGAGAUGAGUUCUCCCUGAGACUUUAAGUCUCCUGAAGGAACGUUAAAGACGAUGACGUUGAUAGGCCGGGUGUGUAAGCGCAGCGAUGCGUUGAGCUAACCGGUACUAAUGAACCGUGAGGCUUAACCU